rnacentral:rRNA from 1 species
UUAUACAAUUAAUGCUAUUUAUUAUGAUUGGUUAAAUUUUAGUUAAUUAUUUAUGUGGGUAUAUUGUUUGGGUGUUUAGGUGAAAUUUGCAUUUGAAUUAAUCCUUUUUAAGAUUCUUUUAAGGACUAAUUUUAAACUAGGAUUAGAUACCCUAUUAUUUUGUUUGUAAGGAUUUUCUGGGUAGUAUUAGUUAAGUUCUUAAAACCUAAAGAAUUUGGCGGUGUUUUAGUCUAUUUAGAGGAACUUGUCCCUUGAUCGAUAAUCCUCGUUUUAUCUUGCUCAUCUUUGUUUGUCAGUAUGUAUACCUCCGUUAUAGGUUUAUUUUUGUAGGAUAUUUGCUUAAUAAUUUAUGA